AAAGACAUGCACCUGAAGAAGACCGUCAGUGGUUGAAACGCGUUGUGCUUCCAGUUUUAUCACUAAGUUUGUUGUGUUUGUAAAUACAUGUAAUAAAGUAUUAUAUUUAGCUACUUAUUGAUUCCUGAACUUCAGUUCUGGAGAGUUACCACGCUGGGACCUUCUACACAACACCAUUCUGAGUGGGGAUAUCAUAUCUACUGAGUUCAGAGCCGACCUGAUGGACUCUUGAAUAUGUGAGUAUCCUUUAUAUUUUCUGUACGGAUACCACUUUAUACAGCUAUGUCUAUGUCGCUUUUAUGUUUUUCUGAACAGGCUAUAUUCCAUUUACUGCUGCUAUUGUGAAAUACCUUUACCAUCUGUGCACUGUCACCUUAUAAAGAAAGUUAAUAUAAACAAAGCUCCAGGGCCUGACGGUGUUCAUCCACGAGUACUUAAGGAACGAAGUGUGGAAAUAAUUGAAUAAGUGAGUUUUUAAUCUUUCAAGAUUCUUUUCUUUCAGGAAGAGGUCCGGAUUGGAGGAAGGCAGAUGUGGUUCCUAUUUUCAAAAAGGGCUAAAAAUCCUUGCCUGGAAAUGAUUCAUCUGUGAGCUUAAC